rnacentral:lncRNA from 1 species
UUAGGACUGUGUAUGAGGACGGUACUAGAUAGUUAUAUUCCAGAUCUAUCCGUUGUUGAUAUAUAUUAUUUUUCUAUUGGAUUAGUUUAGUUUAUUACCUACUAAUGUUUAAAUAUUAGUGGAUGUAUAUGGAUUAUUGUUAUUAUGUGAUCAUUUGAUUGUCUGUGUUGUGUGGUUGUAUGUGUGGUUGACUCUGUAUCCAGUG